AUAGCGUAUAUUAAAGUUGUUGCAGUUAAAAAGCUCGUAGUUGAACUUCAGACCUGGCUGGGGGGUCGGCUUUUCGGCUAGUACUGUCCGGCUGGGCCUUACUUCUUGGUGAGCCGGUGUGCCCUUUAUUGGGUGUGUUGGUGAACCAGGACCUUUACCUUGAGAAAAUUAGAGUGUUCAAAGCAGGCCUAUGCCCGAAUACAUUAGCAUGGAAUAAUAAAAUAGGACGUGUGGUUCUAUUUUGUUGGUUUCUAGAGUCGCCGUAAUGAUUAAUAGGGAUAGUUGGGGGCAUUGGUAUUGAGUCGCUAGAGGUGAAAUUCUUGGAUCGAUUGAAGACUAACUACUG
rnacentral:rRNA from 1 species